AUGUAUCGAACUCAUUCGAUUUUUGUCAGAAAACCUCUGUUCUUUUUGGGUUGCUUCCGUAACUCAGGAGCUCAUAUUGUCAAAGGAGGUCCGCGUUCGGAAAGUUUUACGGAUCAUAGUGUAAUUUCACUUAAGAGCUCCCUCCGUCUGCAAUCUCUCUCUGUCCGCAGCUCCCUCCGUCUGCAAUCUCUCUCUGUUCACAGCUCCCUCCGUCUACAACCUCUCUCCGUCUGCAACUUCCCUACGUCUGCAACCUCCUUCCGCCGCGUCUUGCUUCCUCCCAGCCGGUACACUCAGCUUCGGACAUGA
rnacentral:lncRNA from 1 species